rnacentral:rRNA from 1 species
AGGGGGUUUGAUCAUGGCUCAGAUUGAACGCUGGCGGCAGGCUUAACACAUGCAAGUCGAGCGGGGAAGAGUAGCUUGCUACUUAACCUAGCGGCGGACGGGUGAGUAAUGCUUAGGAAUCUGCCUAUUAGUGGGGGACAACAUCUCGAAAGGGAUGCUAAUACCGCAUACGUCCUACGGGAGAAAGCAGGGGACCUUCGGGCCUUGCGCUAAUAGAUGAGCCUAAGUCGGAUUAGCUAGUUGGUGGGGUAAAGGCCUACCAAGGCGACGAUCUGUAGCGGGUCUGAGAGGAUGAUCCGCCACACUGGGACUGAGACACGGCCCAGACUCCUACGGGAGGCAGCAGUGGGGAAUAUUGGACAAUGGGGGGAACCCUGAUCCAGCCAUGCCGCGUGUGUGAAGAAGGCCUUUUGGUUGUAAAGCACUUUAAGCGAGGAGGAGGCUACCGAGAUUAAUACUCUUGGAUAGUGGACGUUACUCGCAGAAUAAGCACCGGCUAACUCUGUGCCAGCAGCCGCGGUAAUACAGAGGGUGCAAGCGUUAAUCGGAUUUACUGGGCGUAAAGCGCGCGUAAGUGGCCAAUUAAGUCAAAUGUGAAAUCCCCGAGCUUAACUUGGGAAUUGCAUUCCGAUACUGGUUGGCUAGAGGUAUGGGGAGAGGAUGGGUAGAAUU